rnacentral:rRNA from 1 species
GUUCCUACGGGGGGCAGCAGUAGGGAAUAUUGCUCAAUGGGGGAAACCCUGAAGCAGCAACGCCGCGUGAGGGAUGAAGGUCUUCGGAUCGUAAACCUCUGUCAGCAGGGAAGAACGGUCACUGUGCUAAUCAGCAGUGAAUUGACGGUACCUGCAAAGGAAGCACCGGCUAACUCCGUGCCAGCAGCCGCGGUAAUACGGAGGGUGCGAGCGUUAAUCGGAAUUACUGGGCGUAAAGCGCUCGUAGGCGGAAUGUCAAGGCAAGGGUGAAAUUCCCGCGGUCAACG